CGCGCAGGCGGUCUUGUCCGUCAGGUGUGAAAGCUCGGGGCUCAACCCCGGAAGUGCACUUGAAACAGCAAGACUUGAAUACGGGAGAGGAAAGCGGAAUUCCUGGUGUAGAGGUGAAAUUCGUAGAUAUCAGGAGGAACACCGAUGGCGAAGGCAGCUUUCUGGACCGAUAUUGACGCUGAGGCGCGAAGGCGUUGGGGAGCGAACG
rnacentral:rRNA from 1 species